rnacentral:lncRNA from 1 species
ACAAAAAUAAGAAUGAAGAAAGUAAUACCUUGUUGGAUUUGGUAGCAUAGAAGCCCAUACAAAGAAAGCCCAUUCCAAAGUCAGAUUUGAGCCCAUAUACCGUGACAUGGAUGAAUGUAACACAAGAAUUUCUGUGUUUGUUGAUCCUCUCACUUGGGAUUUUGGUGAUGAAACACAAAUUGGUCUUCUUCCUCCGGAGGCGACCGUAGUCUAAAGCCAUCGAAACACCGAACCUGUUAACUGGUCGUCAAUUUCACUAUCCCUCUCUUGGCCAUCGUCUUCCUCGCAUCCGUCUCCGUCGUGUAAUCAUCUCCUUCGUCGCCGUCGAAAGAAUCCUCCGGUGAAAGCGUUUCGGUGGCUGAGAUAUUUAUUAGGGAGACACGAACUAAAAAUUGAACUCGAUUGAUUGAAGAUGUUGUCACGAGAGAUCGAAAGAACAUCAGUGAUCAGUCUCGCAGAGCUUUGAUCGACAAGAGAAAUUGCAGGUCUCAAAAGAAAGAAGAAGAAGAAGAUGAAAGAUUGAUUUUUUGUUUUUUGAUUUCUCAACGAAGAAGAAG